rnacentral:rRNA from 1 species
GAUGAACGCUGGCGGCGUGCCUAAUACAUGCAAGUCGAGCGAACAGACGAGGAGCUUGCUCCUCUGACGUUAGCGGCGGACGGGUGAGUAACACGUGGAUAACCUACCUAUAAGACUGGGAUAACUUCGGGAAACCGGAGCUAAUACCGGAUAAUAUAUUGAACCGCAUGGUUCAAUAGUGAAAGACGGUUUUGCUGUCACUUAUAGAUGGAUCCGCGCCGCAUUAGCUAGUUGGUAAGGUAACGGCUUACCAAGGCAACGAUGCGUAGCCGACCUGAUAGGGUGAUCGGCCACACUGUAACUGAGACACGGUCCAGACUCCUACGGGAGGCAGCAGUAGGGAAUCUUCCGCAAUGGGGGAAAGCCUGACGGAGCAACGCCGCGUGAGUGAUGAAGGUCUUCGGAUCGUAAUACUCUGUUAUUAGGGAAGAACAAAUGUGUAAGUAACUAUGCACGUCUUGACGGUACCGAAUCAGAAAGCCACGGCUAACUACGUG